rnacentral:tRNA from 1 species
GUGUGUGUAGCUCAGUGAUACAGUAUUUGUCUGGCAUGCUAGAGGCCCUGAGUUUGAUUCCCAGCCCCACACA